UACGUAGGAUGCAAGCGUUGUCCGGAAUUAUUGGGCGUAAAGGGCGCGCAGGCGGUUUGUCAAGUCAGAUGUGAAAGCCCCCGGCUUAACCGGGGAGGGUCAUUUGAAACUGACAGACUUGAGUGCAGCAGAGGAAGGUAGAAUUCUGGGUGUAGUGGUGAAAUGCGUAGAUAUCCAGAGGAAUACCAGUGGCGAAGGCGGCCUUCUGGGCUGUAACUGACACUGAGGCGCGAAAGCGUGGGGAGCGAACAGG
rnacentral:rRNA from 1 species